AAUAUUGUACUAUGCGGGCAACUCUGAUCCAGCCAUGCCGCGUGUGUGAAUAAUGUCUUCGGAUUGUAAAGCACUUUUCGUUGUGAGGAAGGGCUUUAGGUUAAUACCGUGAAGUUUUGACGUUACCAUCAGAAUAAGCACCGGCUAUCUCUGUGCCCUCAGCCGCGUUAAUACAGAGGUUGCAAGCGUUAAUCGGAAUUACUGGGCGUAAAGCGAGCGUAGGUGGUUCAGUAAGAUGGGUGUGAAAUCCCCGGGAUUAACCUGGGAGCUGAUUUCAUAACUGCUGAGCUAGAGUAAGGUAGAGGGUAGUGGAAUUUCCUGUGUAGCGGUGAAAUGCGUAGAUAUAGGAAGGAACACCAGUGGCGAAGGCGACUACCUGGACUGAUACUGACACUGAGGUGCGAAAGCGUGGGGAGCAAAC
rnacentral:rRNA from 1 species